GAUGAACGCUAGCUACAGGCCUAACACAUGCAAGUCGAGGGACCGGCGCACGGGUGAGGAACACGUAUCCAACCUGCCCUUUACUCGGGGAUAGCCUUUCGAAAGAAAGAUUAAUACCCGAUAUAAAGACUGGGGAUGCGUUCCAUUAGGUUGUUGGUGAGGUAACAGCUCACCAAGCCUUCGAUGGGUAGGGGUUCGGAGAGGAAGGUCCCCCACAUUGGAACUGAGACACGGUCCAAACGCCUACGGGAGGCAGCAGUGAGGAAUAGUGGUAAAUGGGCGCUAGCCUGAACCAGCGAAGUAGCGUGAAGGAUGAAGGAUUAUAGGUCGUAAACUUCUUUUAUAUAAGAAUAUUUAUUAUAUGAAUAAGGAUCGGCUAACUCCGUGCCAGCAGCCGCGGUAAUAC
rnacentral:rRNA from 1 species